UAGGGAAUCUUCGGCAAUGGGGGCAACUCUGACCGAGCAACGCCGCGUGAGUGAAGAAGGUUUUCGGAUCGUAAAGCUCUGCUGUAAGAGAAGAACGUGUGUGAGAGUGGAAAGUUCACACAGUGACGGUAACUUACCAGAAAGGGACGGCUAACUACGUGCCCG
rnacentral:rRNA from 1 species